AUUCAACUUCGAAUCCCGACUCCCAUCAAAAACCCUCUCCUCUUCUCGGCUCUUCCCUAUCUCCCUCUCUCUCUCUCUCUCUCUCUCUCUCUCUCCUCCCUCUUCAAUGGCGUCACUCCUUCGCGAUCUCCUCCUCAAGAAACCGCCUCCUCGUCGUGCUCUCCGCUUCCUCGUCUCUUUUGACGAGCUCCCUACUCCCGAUCCCUAUCUCUCUCCUCUCCCGCACCAAAACCCUCCCCAAAGAUCGCCUCUCCUCCCUCCUCUCCCCGAUGCCGCCGCCGGAGGAGGGCCGCCGCCCUCGCUCCGCCACACCCUUCAGGCGUACCCUGCUUUCCCCCACUGUUUCCUUGCCGCCCCGAUCAAUGUCCCCUCGCCAGAUGGACCGGCCGAUCUCGACGGUGACGGCAGCGGCGGCACGACGACCGUGUGGGCAGAUAGCGUGAAGAAGAAGAGGAAGAGGAAGAUGAACAAGCACAAGCAAAGGAAGUUGAGGAAGCGCCUCCGUUACAAGGCAAAAUAGAUCUGGGAAUUUGAGCUCUGCAUCGGUCGUCACAUUGUUGACAUUAAGGACUGAAGAACUUGUGUCCAGCAUGGAUGUUUUGAUGAAAGUUUGUUGAUACUUCCAGAUACCAUUAUGAUUCUAGGGUAGAUUGGCAAGCCUGGGACUGCCAAUCUUGAAAAUUUUAUAAAUUACGAGAGAACCGUUAUAUGAAAGCUUUGCAAACUUAUUGAUGGUGUGUUGAGGUUGCCUGCAGCCAAAGCAUCUGAAUUCGGAAAACGGGUGUAUUCCAUCUCUUAUCUUUUCGGGUUUUUUAUUUCUUGGCUACGACUUGCUCAGUUUCCUUCUUAUAUCAGUUGAUUGGUUGAUCAGUUUAAACAGCUCCUUUUAUGCACAUAAUUUUCUUGCUAAACAGAGCAUGUGGGUUGAUUUAUGUGAUCAAGGUUUCCUCUUUACUUGAUCAUCAUCUCCUCACCUCAUCUUCCUUCUGUUGGAAUGGCAAUAAAGAAAUGUUCUUUCUUCUUUGUUCUGUUUUUUGAAUCAUGGGGUUGAUUUAUGUGAUCAAGGUUUCCUCUUUGCUUGAUCAUCAUCUCCUCAUAAUCUUGUUCUUCGGUCUGUUGGAAUGGCAAUCAAGAAAUGUUCUUUCUUCUUUGUUCUGUUUUCUGAAUCAUGGUCAGUCCCUUGUGGUAAGAAAUCCUCAAAAGUCCAACAGUGUGUCUUUGCUUGUUAGCUCAGUUGACGCAUGCACAAUUACACAGCGCUGGUUGGUUGUUCAUAGGGAAGAUAACAUUACCAACUCGUCCUUGUUGAUAGGAAAAAUAAAGUGCUGUCUACUCGUCCCGUCACCUAGUCCAAGGCAUGGGCAAUUAGGCCCACUCGUAAGAGAACGCUUGUACGCAUUAAAACCAAUCAGCAUGGCUCAACAUCCCUAGCUCUUCCUUAUGGACGAAAGGCACGGGGGAUCAUCCCCUGCCUAUCCAAGAUAGGUCAAGAGUCAUAUCAUCAUAGUCAUCCUCCGAAGGACGUGCUCAUCAGUUACGACUAUCGAUAAUCCCCGAGUCAAGUAGGAGAUAUCCUAACUCAUCGUUGGUCUCACGUCAUCAAUCGCUUAGGUAUAAAACCCAAGCUCCUAAACCAAACAAGGGCAAGCGGGCUCUAUCCGAACUCUUUUGAGCUACUAAACUCUUUGCACCUACUCUACUGACUUGAGUGUCGGAAGGGUCGGGUCGAGAUAUCUCUUGACGCUAAUCGCUUAUGUAGGACCCAGGCAUGCCUAAAGAGCACCUCAGAGUGAUUCUAAACGCUUCUAGAAGGUCAAGACACACCUCGGGACAACCCCGAGCUUCCUCUAACAGAUAAGUCGCUCCCUGAGACGAUCGAUGGAUCAAUCGUCGAGACCUUGCAACAUCUCGGGAGUCCACUUGCCACCUCGAUUGCCCACUCGAGCCGUCUCUCUCACCCCGAUAUGAGAUCUUACAAUGGAUCCGUGACUUCGGGAUCAAACCGGAGGAUGUUUCGUCAUCCCUAUUAUUUUGUUUGCUUGCAAUUAUUGUGUUAUCUGUAAAUGAAAUCUCAAUUACAACUCUCCUACUUGCAUUAUCACUCUACUUUUCCUGUGCAAGUGGCUUUUGCAUUGCCACAUCUGAUUACAACUUUUCUUAUGAUGAUAUUAACAUGUAGAUAAUAUGGUCUGUGAGAUAAUUAGUAUUAUGAUAUGAGGAGAAUUAGAGAAAUUUAAGUAAAGAGGAAGCUUCUCGUUGCAAGCUUCCUCUCCGUCUAUAACAACCAAAGC